rnacentral:rRNA from 1 species
GGGCCCGCACAAGCGGUGGAGCAUGUGGUUUAAUUCGAUGAUACGCGAGGAACCUUACCAGGGCUUAAAUGUAAGUUGCAUUAGUUAGAGAUAGCUAUUUCUUCGGACCACUUACAAGGUGCUGCAUGGUUGUCGUCAGCUCGUGCCGUGAGGUGUCAGGGUUAAGUCCCGCAACGAGCGCAACCCACGUCUUUAGUUGCCAGCAUUUAGUUGGGCACUCUAGAGAGACUGCCGGUGAUAAACCGGAGGAAGGUGUGGAUGACGUCAAGUCAUCAUGCCCCUUACAUCCUGGGCUACACACGUACUACAAUGCUACGGACAAAGGGCCAGCAAGUUCGCGAGGACAAG